AUGGCUCAGAUUGAACGCUGGCGGAAUGCUUUACACAUGCAAGUCGAACGGCAGCACGGGGGCAACCCUGGUGGCGAGUGGCGAACGGGUGAGUAAUACAUCGGAACGUGCCCAGUCGUGGGGGAUAACGUAGCGAAAGCUACGCUAAUACCGCAUACGAACUCUGGUUGAAAGCGGGGGAUCGCAAGACCUCGCGCGAUUGGAGCGGCCGAUGGCAGAUUAGGUAGUUGGUGGGGUAAAGGCUCACCAAGCCGACGAUCUGUAGCUGGUCUGAGAGGACGACCAGCCACACUGGGACUGAGACACGGCCCAGACUCCUACGGGAGGCAGCAGUGGGGAAUUUUGGACAAUGGGYRMRARSSUGAUCCAGCCAUUCCGCGUGCAGGAUGAAGGCCCUCGGGUUGUAAACUGCUUUUGUACGGAGCGAAAAGGCGCUUUCUAAUACAGAGCGCUCAUGACGGU
rnacentral:rRNA from 1 species